rnacentral:rRNA from 1 species
AGGGCUAAUACGUGCGAAGCGCCCGAAGCCGCGAGGCGACGGGCGUUCUCGCCGGAUGUAGGAACCGACCCGGGGGACCGCCGGGGGCAACCCGGGCGCCCCCGAGACGGGGCGAACCACGGUGAAAUGACGGAUCGUCGGCCCCGCGCCGGCGACUCGCCGAAUGAGUUUCUGACCUAUCAACUCGAGACGGCGGGGUAGAGGCCCCGCCGCGGUAACGACGGGUAACAGGGAAUCAGGGUUCGAUUCCGGAGAGGGGAGCCCCGAGAAAACGGCUACCACUUCCAAGGAAGGCAGCAGGCGCGCAACUUACCCCUAAUCUCGAUUCGAGGAGGUAGUGACAAGAAAUACCGAUGCGGGACCCUACGGGUGCCGCGUUCGGAAUGAGUACGAUUCGAACCACCUAACGAGGAACGAUCGGAGGGCAAGUCUGGUGCCAGCAGCCGCGGUAAUUCCAGCUCCAAUAGCGUACGUUAAAGUUGUCUGCAGU